rnacentral:rRNA from 1 species
UGAGCAAUCUGCCCUUCUCAUCGGAAUAAGCGUUGGAAACGACGUCUAAUGCCGAAUACGACCUCCUUUCGCAUGAUCGGAGGUGGAAAGCUCCGGCGGAGAAGGAUGAGCUCGCAGCCUAUCAGCUAGUUGGUGAGGUAACGGCUCACCAAGGCUUCGACGGGUAGCCGGCCUGAGAGGGCGACCGGCCACACUGGGACUGAGACACGGCCCAGACUCCUAGGAGG